UCAAUAAGCGGAGGAAAAGAAACUAACAAGGAUUCCCCUAGUAACGGCGAGUGAAGAGGGAUGAGCUCAAAUUUGUAAUCUGGCGUGUCGCAAGACCGUCCGAGUUGUAGUCUAGAGAAGCGUCUUCCGUGCCGGACCGCGUACAAGUCCCCUGGAACGGGACAUCGUAGAGGGUGAGAAUCCCGUGUCGCGACGCGGACCGCCGGUGCCCUGUGAUGCGCUCUCGAAGAGUCGAGUUGUUUGGGAAUGCAGCUCAAAGUGGGUGGUAAACUCCAUCUAAAGCUAAAUACGGGCGAAAGACCGAUAGCGAACAAGUACCGUGAGGGAAAGAUGAAAAGCACUUUGGAAAGAGAGUUAAAUCAGUACGUGAAAUCGUUGAAAGGGAAACGCUUGGACUCAUGUCACGUCCACCGCGAAUUCAACCKCCGUCACGACGGAGGUGCAUUUUCCGGUGGACGGGUCAGCAUCGAUUUCGAAAGUCAGACGGGGUCCCAUGGGAACGUGACACCCCCUCACGGGGGUGUGUUAUUCAGCCCGGGGACUCGGUGACGCUCGGGAUCGAGGAACGCAGCGCGCCGUCAUUGGCCGGGGGUAAUAACCCACGUAACGCGCUU
rnacentral:rRNA from 1 species